GUCUACUAAAACAGGAAAUAUAAAACAGCUUUAAACACUGAAAGUAAGCAAUAAAUAUAAACCCAGUAAAAUACAUUGGCUGCACAGUCUCUCCAUCACAUAUUGUUCUCCUGUGUCUCAUAACUGAUCAUGAAGCAUCUAAUUUUAAUAUGAGCACAUUCAAAUCACAUUGGCUGAGAUUUGAAAUCGUCAACAGAUUGAAAGAUUUUCAGUGAUUCAAGUUGUUGGUCUGCUCCUCAUAGUGGCUUCAGAAGAUUUGAAAUAUAGCUUGUCUUUCAUUGUUUGAAAAAGAGAUGCAAACAUACUACCUAACAGAAGAAAGAAAUACCUGUUUGGAAUAACACAAGGGUGAGUAAAUUAGCAUUUUUGGGUAAACUAUUGAUUUUACACGUGUGCUAGCUCUUUAUUUUCAUUUGCAUUCAAAUUUAUGCAUUCCCUGGGAAUUUAAUCCACAACCUUGGUAUUGCUACUACUACUGGUUAUAAUUAUUGUUUUAAUGCUAGCAAGUCAUAAUUUAAACAAGCUUGGUCACAGUUCAAAUCUUUAAAGCACAUGAAAUCUAGAAACAAGACAGAAGACACUGCUGUCAUGACCCUCAGAGGUGAAUGGGUGUUUUCAAACCUUAAACACUACUAAGAGUGAGUGAAACCAAGACACUGACAUCUGCAUUCAUUUUUCUUGUUUCUCUUUUUUUUUUUUUUUUUGAGUGAAUAUUACCUUUGUGCACAAAUUUUUGCACAUGACUACUCAGGACACACUGUCCUGCCAAGAUGCCUCUGCAUACCUUUAAGGUGCCGCUGAAUCUGCCUAACAGGAUCCAAAGGCAAGUCUGCACAAAAGUUAAGAGAUGGAAGGAGGUACAGGACAAGGUGUGACUUUUGAGGAGAAGCAGGGAAAGUGUGUGCUGGAGGCAGACGAUAUUUGGCACUUAGCUGAGCAGGAUGAAAAGGAGGGAAACAUCUAAAUACCUGCUUAAAUUGCUCCAAUUACAGUCCAUGCAGAAGUGUUCAUUGAAGACUAAGCUAGAUUUACUGUUUAUUGCAAGCACUUUCACAACCGCCAAAGGAACAAAAAUAUGCCGUGAUCAUUGUUAUGGGGCAGAAAACGGUUUGUAUUUCUUUGUAGAUUACUUGAUAAUUCUUUGGCAAACAUUAACGGUAGAUUUGUCUCUCUUCAUGAGCCAACUCAUUAAUAAUUCCCAGACACAAUCUUCAUAAGUGAGAAGGGAUCCCAGUGAUACAGAAUCAUGCCUGAAAAAACAAAAACAUUUCCAAACUCCUCCUAUCAAAUGGCAGUUAGACAGUGCCAAGAUCUCACACUUUUACUCUCUCCUUGGGAAAACUGCAGAAAAACCCAACUUUCUGGUUUUAAAGACAGAUCAUUGAUGACAGUCAAAGAGCCGUGAGAAACUUCCGAGACUGCCAGGAAAACUGAAAUUUAAGAAAAACAUGGUGUUGGAUCACCGAUCACAUGAUAUCUUUCAACACUGACCUCGCCAUGGACAUUAGGUGCUGCACUUUAUUCUCCCUUUAAAAAUUCAUCAUUUAGACUGCUGGAUUAAAUGGAUGGGAUCAAAUACUACAGCAAAGAUCACAAACCUAUAUACAAGAGGAACGAAGUGGUAAAUAAACACAAACAAGUCUAGACCAAGCCAUGCUGGCAAAGAGUCUAUGAGAAAAAUGUAUCACCAACUCUUGAGAAAUGUAUUAGGAGAAAGCUGAGAGGGGCAUGAUACGACCUGCCCUCAGUUUCUCUAGGAAAAGAGAUGACUUUUACUACUACCAAUACUACAAAAAACUGGGUGACAGGCCAUAUAGACUGAUUGCUAAUAACAAAAAAACCCACUUCCAGCAUUUUAGUGUAAAAUACAUUGAACCGUAAGUUCAUUCUACUCCAGUUGUGUCAAAGAAUAGAUUUCCUCAACAGUUUCUGAGAGUUUUUAUUGGUCAAAUUAAAAUUAAUAAUUUGUUAAA